GAACGUCGAUAGGUGCUGCAUGGCUGUCGUCAGCUCGUGCUGUGAAGUGUCGGGUUAAGUCCCUUAACGAGCGCAACCCUUAUCGCUAGUUGCCAGCGAGUCAUGUCGGGGACUCUAGCGAGACUGCCGGUGUCAAACCGGAGGAAGGUGGGGAUGACGUCAAGUCCGCAUGGCCUUUAUGUCCAGGGCUGCACACGUGCUACAAUGGUCGGUACAGAACGAUGCAAUACCGCAAGGUGGAGCAAAUCGCAAAAGCCGGCCCCAGUUCGGAUUGCAGGCUGCAACUCGCCUGCAUGAAGUUGGAAUCGCUAGUA
rnacentral:rRNA from 1 species